UAAACAGUGAGAUACGUUUUUCCUGAAUUGAAUUGUGUCUCAAAUUGAAUCUCUUCCAUGAGUUUCAUGUGAUAAAAACUUUUUCUCGCUGAAUUGAAUCGGGCCCCUAUGUAGGGACUGAUAAUCUGAAUUUUAUGCUUUGAUUACAGGACACAAUUUAAGCAGCAUAAGGCAAGUACCAGCAGACAUAUAUAGAACCAUUAGCAAUGCACCAAUACAAGAUUCAAGAUCAAAUACUUGCAAUUUUUGCAGGAUUUGAAUUUGCCUGAAGUUUUACGGUAAACCAUUCAGCAAGCAUUACAUAUAGAAUCAAAGAAACGUAAUAAUCGAAAUAUGUAAGUGGAACCUAUGUGGCCAAGGCUCUGUAAGUUCAGUAAAUACCAUCCCUAAGUCAACAUUUGCUGCAGUCAGAUAUAGAUGCAUUCAACAAUAUUAAUGCAAUUUCGAUAUGGUGAUUGAGAUAACCAUUCAUUUUAAAGAAGCCGAGAACAUAAAAAAUGGGAACAGUAGUGACCACGGGCUCUGUAAGUUCAGUAAAUACCAUCCCUAAGUCAACAUUUGCUGCAGUCAGAUAUAGAUGCAUUCAACAAUAUUAAUGCAAUUUCGAUAUGGUGGUUGAGAUAAUAAAAUCAUUUUAAAGAAGCCAAGAACAUAAAAAAUGGGAACACUAGUGACCACAGGUAAGAACCAUAACUUUAAUUUCUUUUUUGUUAUUACUUAAUACCAGAUCUGUAUGUACAGCAGGUAUUUGUUUGUAUCCAUAUGAUAGAUGUAGAGCAGGUAUCCAUAUAAAUAUUCUGAAAAUGAACUCACAAGGACUGGUUUAUUAUAUGGUGCAAAUUUGGUUUUGUACAGUUGUCGGUAUAAACUAAUAAGGAAUCUGGAAAACAAGCAUUAUGGAUAACAGGUCCUAUACAGGUAUGGGACCUGUUAGCCAGAAUGGUCGUGAC